GUCAAGACAAUGGAGUACAGAGAUGGUGUGGUUAAAUUGGUGGCACAACAAUUUGUCCAAGGGAGCAUGCAGGUGGCCUUGGAGCAGUAUGUCAACUCUGUCAUAAAUCUGUGAAGUACUUGUCAUUACCUCCUCUAACAUAAGUAUUUUUAAUCAGUCUACCCCCCUAAAUCAAUACACAUCAAUAUAUUGUCCUUAAUACUUAUUUUAAAUAUACAUCUUGUCUCUAAACCAAGUUCAAAUAUGGUCUCAACUUUCUUGGGCUGCAUUGGGGAACCACCCGUACAGUUUCCGAGCACUUUUUGUGGACUCCAUAAAGCCUCAAACUGCCAGGGACCAGCGAAAUCUGUUUAAAGUAACCUAUUCCAUACCUGGCGGCAACCGGCAGUGUUUGGAGAGUGACACCAUCUGCCACUGGUUCAGCUGGCUGGCUGAAGUGCAAGCAGGCACGCUCUGAAGGCUCCAAUCCAGUGCUUGCAGUAGGCCUCUCCUGUGUCGUUUUGUACUGAGUGGAAGACAAAUAUUGUGUCAGCAGAUGGAAUAUUGUGUUAAAGCCCCAUAGAGAAAAAUACAAUAACCAUAGACCGUAUAUCUUAACAGUACCUGCCACUCUCCAAAUAUGACCAAACAAAAUCGUAAUGGAAUGGAGAAGUACUUAGCUUUUGUUAAGGCCACCUGUGUCUAAACUCUGGUCCCCAUCCGUUCAGAGUUGAAGAUGUCUGUCGUACUUUUCUAGAGACCAAAUCAUACAGUGUGUGAAAGAGGGGGAAUGUUAUUAUAAAAUGUAUAAUAGUUAUAAUAGUAUUAUAAAAAUUAACUGAUUCAAAGGAAUGAGUGCCAUUCAAUACUCAGGUCACUGCUGAAGAUAUAGCAUCCAAUCCCUCAUCCCAGUAGGGGAGUAUCAGGGGUGUAGUAAGUCAGGUUGGAGGAGGAACGAGGGGCGCUGAAGAUAUUACUGCCAUAACCAUCUGUAGAAUUUUAACUCCCAGGCUGCCUCUGGGGCCAUCCAAUGGAUUUAUUGUCCGCAACAGUUCCAUCUGUGUGUUGCUGAUGGUGAACUGGAUUUGUGCCACAAUCACCCCUUCCGACCAAUAAAGAGCUGUGCCAGUGGUUGGAAGAGCUGUGGUGGUGGUUGGAGGAGCUGAG
ensembl:lncRNA